rnacentral:rRNA from 1 species
UGGGGAAUAUUGGACAAUGGGCGGAAGCCUGAUCCAGCAACGCCGCGUGAGGGAUGACGGCCUUCGGGUUGUAAACCUCUUUCAGCAGGGACGAAGCGCAAGUGACGGUACCUGCAGAAGAAGCACCGGCCAACUACGUGCCAGCAGCCGCGGUAAUACGUAGGGUGCGAGCGUUGUCCGGAAUUAUUGGGCGUAAAGGGCUCGUAGGCGGUCUGUCGCGUCGGGAGUGAAAACCAGGUGCUUAACACCUGGCUUGCUUUCGAUACGGGCAGACUAGAGGUAUUCAGGGGAGAACGGAAUUCCUGGUGUAGCGGUGAAAUGCGCAGAUAUCAGGAGGAACACCGGUGGCGAAGGCGGUUCUCUGGGAAUAUCCUGACGCUGAGGAGCGAAAGUGUGGGGAGCGAACAGGAUUAGAUACC